rnacentral:rRNA from 1 species
UAGGGAAUAUUAGUAAUAGGCGAAAGCCUGAACUAGCAACGCCGCGUGUGCGAAGAAGGCCUUCGGGUUGUAAAGCACUUUUUGAGAGGAUGAGGAAGGACGGUACUCUCAGAAUAAGUCUCGGCUAACUACGUGCCAGCAGCCGCGGUAACACGUAGGAGGCGAACGUUAUCCGGAUUUACUGGGCGUAAAGCGCGUGUAGGUGGUUUGGUAAGUAGGGCGUGAGAGCUCCUGGCUCAACUGGGAGAGGCCGUGCUAAACUGCCGAACUAGAGGAUGGUAGGGGGAGGUGGAAUUCCGGGUGUAGCGGUGGAAUGCGCAGAUAUCCGGAGGAACACCAGUGGCGAAAGCGGCCUCCUGGACCAUUCCUGACACUCAGACGCGAAAGCUAGGGUAGCAAACGG